rnacentral:rRNA from 1 species
UACGAAGGGUGCAAGCGUUGCUCGGAAUUAUUGGGCCUAAAGCAUCCGUAGCCGGUCCUACAAGUCUUCCGUUAAAUCCACCUGCUUAACAGAUGGGCUGCGGAAGAUACUAUAGGGCUAGGAGGCGGGAGAGGCAAGCGGUACUCAGUGGGUAGGGGUAAAAUCCUCUGAUCCACUGAAGACCACCAGUGGCGAAGGCGGCUUGCCAGAACGCGCUCGACGGUGAGGGAUGAAAGCUGGGGGAGCAAACCGG